AGAGUUUGAUCAUGGCUCAGAACGAACGCUGGCGGCGUGCUUAACACAUGCAAGUCGAACGUGAAAGUGGACUUCGGUCCGCGAGUAAAGUGGCGCACGGGUGAGUAACACGUGAAUAAUCUGCCCGAUGAAUCGGGAUAACAUUUCAAGGGGAGCUAAUACCGGAUAAGCCCACGAUGACUUCGGUCCUUGAGGGAAAAGGUGGCCUCUCCUUGGAAGCUUCUGUCAUCGGAUGAGUUCGCGGCCCAUUAGCUAGUUGGCGGGGUAACGGCCCACCAAGGCUACGAUGGGUAGCUGGUCUGAGAGGAUGAUCAGCCACACUGGGACUGAGACACGGCCCAGACUCCUACGGGAGGCAGCAGUAAGGAGUCUUGGGCAAUGGACGAAAGCCUGAUGCAGCGAUGCCGCGUGGGUGAGGAAGGCUUUCGGGUCGUAAAGCUCUGUCAGAAGGGAAGAAAUGCUUGUAGGUUAAUACCUUGUAAGCUUGACGGUACCUUCAAAGGAAGCACCGGCUAACUCCGUGCCAGCAGCCGCGGUAAUACGGAGGGUGCAAGCGUUGUUCGGAAUCACUGGGCGUAAAGGGCGCGUAGGCGGCCAAGCAAGUCAGAUGUGAAAGCCCACGGCUCAACCGUGGAAGUGCAUUUGAAACUGCUUGGCUUGAGUAUCAGAGGGGAAAGUGGAAUUCCCGGUGUAGACGAAAAAAAUUAGUGGAUCGUUAUGACUCCCUUUUUCUAAGGGUACUGUCUUUCUGAAUACUUACUCUUAGGCUCUAAAGCGUGGGGAGCAAACAGGAUUAGAUACCCUGGUAGUCCACGCCGUAAACGAUGUCAACUAGGUGCAGGGGGUGUUGAUCCCCUCUGUGUCGCAGCUAACGCAUUAAGUUGACCGCCUGGGGAGUACGGUCGCAAGAUUAAAACUCAAAGGAAUUGACGGGGGCCCGCACAAGCGGUGGAGUAUGUGGUUUAAUUCGAUGCAACGCGAAGAACCUUACCUGGUCUUGACAUCCGAAAAAAGACUAGAAAUAGGGAAGUGCUCUCUUUGAGAGAAUUUGGUGACAGGUGCUGCAUGGCUGUCGUCAGCUCGUGUCGUGAGAUUUCGGGUUAAGUCCUUCAACGAGCGAAACCCUUGCCGUUAGUUGCUAACAGGUUAAGCUGGGCACUCUAGAGGGACUGCCGGUGUCAAACCGGAGGAAGGUGGGGAUGACGUCAAGUCCUCAUGGCCUUUAUGACCAGGGCUACACACGUACUACAAUGGCAUGUACAAAGGGCAGCGAGCUCGUGAGAGUCAGCGAAUCCCAUAAAGCAUGUCUCAGUCCGGAUUGGAGUCUGCAACUCGACUCCAUGAAGUUGGAAUCGCUAGUAAUCGUGGAUCAGCAUGCCACGGUGAAUACGUUCCCGGGCCUUGUACACACCGCCCGUCACACCACGAAAGUCGGUUGUUCCAGAAGCGGUUGGGCUAACCUCCCCGGCAAGCAGGCUGCCAAGGAAUGGCUGGUAAUUGGGGUGAAGUCGUAACAAGGUAACCGUA
rnacentral:rRNA from 1 species